CCCUAUUCUUUACCACACUUCACUCUCUCGACUCUUAACCUCUUCUCCUUCUCUGAAACGCGUUUUACCUCUGCCUCCACCGUCCUUGCCGCCGCCGGAGACGUCCUAGUCGGCGUCGGAGCCGUCCUUCCCGCCGUCGUCCUUCCCGCUCUUGUUUUGUGUUCCUUUGUGCACGGUUCUUGCCAUCUUAACCUCUGUUCCAUCUCUCAAAAGCUUGCUGCACCUUGUGCCUCCACCGUCCUUGCCGCCGCCUCCGUCCCUGCUGCGCCGUUGCCGCUCUUGUGUUGUGUCCCUUCGUGCACGGUUCGUUGCCCUGUCCUCAGAGUUCAAAAGCGCUCCAUUGUUCCUCUCCUCGAUCAAGCAAUUUUCUUCUUCCUCAUAAGUUUUGUUGUAUCAAACAAGCCAACAGAUGUGAAGCGUUUGAUCUGAUCCCUUGGAAAGGUAUCAAAGUGAGCACAGCUUCAAGAUAUAUUGAUUAUAUUCUGCCCUGAAUAAUGGAAUCAUAAAUCUUGUGGACGUGCUUUUACUCUUGCAAGCUUCUUUGAACGCUACAAGAACUUGGACCUUGCUAGGAAUUUUCAAUUUCCAACCUUGAGACAGAAUAGUCUUGAGACUAAGAUAGAGAAGUCAAGGAAGAAACUGAAGGAGAUAAAUAAUAGAGCUAAGAAGAUUUGUGGAGUAAACAAGGUAAUUUUCCUUUCUCAACUAAUAUCAAAUUAGAGUUACUUACCCAAGGUUGUCAGACUCGUGAGUCUAAGCAGACUCGUUUUGGGUAGGUAGACUCGACUCGUAGACUCGACGAGACUCGAGUCUACCAGAAAUGAAAAUUUACUAAGUAUAACCUUGUCACAUGAAGAAUAAAUACAAACAUAUAAUCUAAUUAUAAGAGCAUCCAAGAUUUUUUGAAGCAAAGAAGGAAGAGGAACGCGAUAGAGGUUGAAAAUAGGUUUAGUUUUAGGGAUUUUUAAUAAAUUUGGGAUUUUUUAACUUAAAAAAAAAAAAAAACUUGACUCGGUGACUCGGUCACCGAGUCAGACCGAGUCAGGCCAGAAAACGAGUCUGGCAGCGAGUCGACUCGUUUUUCCUAUGUAGACUCGCGAGUCUACCGAGUCAGCAAGUUAACUCGCGAGUCUAACAACCUUGUACUUACCAUUUGCUUGAUGUGUAUAAUGAGAUUGCUUAGUUUUGUAUUCUAUAAACCUUCUGUGAAACUGAUUUUCACGUCCUUUUCUUCUUUUGAUCACACUUUGUCCUAGUCUUCAAUAGCAACCCUAGGAUAAAUCCAGCACACCUCUUACAGUUUUUGAAUUGAUUAUGUUAGUUAGUACUUCUUUGGUUGAGAUUGGAUAUUACACAUGAGAGAUUAAAUUCUAGCCUUGCUCUAAUAAUUGUUUCUACCUUGUUAGAAUAAAAGAGAUGAUAAUUAAUACUGGUAUAUCCAGUUUAAUAUUGGUAAAGAAAAUAGUUCAUUUGAUUGCUUCAAUUGCAAUUGGCAGCAAAACAUGAGUACUCACAUUGGAGUGAAAGAGAAAAUCAAUAGUAGCCUUAGACUAUGUUUACAUACGCACAGUACUCUUUUUAUGAUUGGAGCACUAAUCCAAGGUACUGCCUAAGCAAUCUAUGAGACCAUAAUUGAAUAGCUGAAUGUUGAUUGUCAAGUCCGUGGUUUUGCUACUCUCCUUUUAUUAUUUGAUGCCUUAUCUUUCAUGCUUUCGUCUAACUUUUUUUGUUAAUUGUUGUUCAUAAUUAGUUUGGUAGAUUGGGAUAAUAUGGAUCGAAAAUGGAUGUUUGCGAACCGUGGUGGAACCGCUGUAAUAUAUAUUAUCAAAUACAGACAAAAAAAAAACAAAUUACUGCGGUUCCGUGGUGGAACCGCUGUAAUAUAUAUUAUCAAAUACAGCGGUUACCGGCUGAAACCGCUGUAAAAGAAGACUCAAGUAGAGCGGUUAUUCUAGAGAACAGCUGUUGUAGGUCUAUAUUUACAGCGGUUUUAUUAAAUCAACCGCUGUAAAUAAUGCAUCUUUUACAGCGGUUAGAACCGCUGUUAAGGCUUUUACAGCGGCGAGAUCUACAGCGGUUCUGGACCACUGAAAACCGCUGUAAAAGGCCAAAAAAAACCGCUGUAAAAGCCAUUUUUUUGGUGUAGUGGGACUCCGUUAGUUGAUGUGUCUAAUACAAUAUCAAACUUCGUCGUGCAGCGCACGGGAAAAAGCACGGGAAUGAACAUUUUACAAUCAACUACAUUAAAUUUUUUAUUCUUAGAAUAA